AACGCGAAGAACCUUACCUGGGCUCGAACGGCUUAAGAACAUCUUUGGAAACAGAGACUUCUCGCAAGAGACUUGAGUCGAGGUGCUGCAUGGCUGUCGUCAGCUCGUGUCGUGAGAUGUUGGGUUAAGUCCCGCAACGAGCGCAACCCUUGUCCUGUGUUGCCACUCCGUAAGGAAGCACUCUCAGGAGACCGCCAGCGAUAAGUUGGAGGAAGGUGGGGAUGACGUCAAGUCCUCAUGGCCUUUAUGUCCAGGGCUACACACGUGCUACAAUGGUCGGUACAAACCGUCGCAAAGCCGCGAGGUGGAGCUAAUCGGAAAAAGCCGGCCUCAGUUCGGAUCGCAGUCUGCAACUCGACUGCGUGAAGCUGGAAUCGCUAGUAAUCGUGGAUCAGAAUGCCACGGUGAAUACGUUCCCGGGCCUUGUACACACCGAGUAUA
rnacentral:rRNA from 1 species